rnacentral:pre_miRNA from 1 species
CUCGCAGUAUACUUUUGUGUUUUGUUGUGUUUUGAAACUCAAAUCACAGGAUUAUACUGUGAG